UCUUCAUUUCACACACACUCUCUCACCGGCCAGAAAGGCGAGAGAGUGUGUGAAAUGAAGAGA
rfam:Pristionchus pacificus strain PS312 contig4225, whole genome shotgun sequence.